UAUUCUGCUUAAACAUAAUUUUAAUGACUAAAUUGCAUCCUCUUUAUUGAUGAACCAUUAUUAUGCACCAAUUCCCCAACAUUCUUAAAGAAAUUUUGGAGGUAGCUGGCAAGAUGGCCCAAUAGGAACAGCUCCGGUCUGCAACUCCCAGUGAGAUCAAUGCAGAAGGCGAGUUAUUUCUGCAUUUCCUACUGAGGUACCCUGCUCAUCUCAUUGAGACUGGUUAGACAGUGGAUGCAGCCCAUGGAGGGCAAGCCAAAGUAGGGUGGGGCAUUGCCUCAUCUGGGAAGCACAAGGGGUCGGGGAACUCCCUCCCCUAGCCAAGGGAAGCCGUGAGGAACUGUGCUGUGAGGGAUGGUGCUACCUGUCCGAGACACUACACUUUUCCCAUGGUUUUCACAACCCGCAGACCAGGAGAUUUCCUCAAGUGCCUAUAUCACCAGGGCCCUGGGUUUGAAGCAUAAAACUGGGAGGCCAUUUGGGCAGACACCGAACUAGCUGCAGGAGUUUUGUUGUUGUUGUUGUUGUUGUUGUUGUUUGUUUGUUUUUUUCCAUACCCCAGUGACACCUGGAACACAAGCAAGAUAGAACCGUUCAGUCCCCUGGAAAGGGGGUUGAAGCUAGGGAGCCACGUGGUCUAGCUCAGCGGAUCCCACCUCCAUGGAGCUCAGCAAGCUAAGAUCCACUGGCUUGAAAUUUUCACUGCCAGCACAGCAGUCUGAAGUUGACCUGGGACACUUCAGCUUGGUGGGGGAAGGGUCGUCUGUCAUUGCUGAGGCUUGAGCAGGCGGGUUUCCCCUCAUAGUAUAAAUAAAGCCGCCAGGAAAUUCAAACUCCACAGAGCCCACUGCAGCUCAGCAAAGCCGCUGUAGCCAACUGCCUCUCUCGAUUCCUCCUUUCUGGGCAGGGCACCUUAUGUUGCUGCCGGCAGACCUGUAAUAGGGUUUCUCAUUCGUCUGGGUUGGUUUUAGUUUUUUCUGGGCUUUAGUUUUUUCUGUUCCAGCAGACCCUCCUCGUUCAAGUCCCCAUAGGACCCUACCUAUCCCUAUUGGUCCUUGCAAAUCUCUGCCAGUCUUUGCUAGUCUCUACUUUUGUACCUCUUUAGGGUACUGACCUUAUAUUGCUAGUCUUUGCUAGUCUUUAUCUAUCCCUAUCUGUCCCGGUCUGUCCCUAUGGUACCUGUUAGUUCCUUCAAGUCCCUGUCUUUUCUUACCUAUCUCUACUUAUCUCUAUUUAUCUCUAUCCCUGCAGGUCUCUUCAGGUCUCCGUUUGUCCCUGAUAGUCCCUGUUGGGGCACCACUUGUGGCUGACUGCCACGGUUACUACUUGAGACCAUCACUACAGCAGUUACUACUGUUACCACUUGAGACCACCACUACAUCUGAACGAAGGGACAAACAUAGAAAUGAAAACCAAGGAAAAAAGAAACUAUUUUAAGGAAAGGCUAGCAUGGGGAAGAAGAAGAGAGCUCCCUACUACCCAAUGAUCAUAGGCCACCCCCUGUAUAUAUUGGAUAACAAGAGCAGGAAGGAGGAGGUAAUGAUUGAUCAGCUGCUCAAUUGAUCACAGGUUCAUAUUUUUACUAACAGGCUUCAAUCAUGCCCAAUCAUAAGAAACACUUGUGCGGCCUCCAACACCUCCUCAAGGAGAACUACAAACAAUUGUUCAAGGAAAUAAGAGAGGACACAACCGAAUGGAAAAACAUUCCACGCUCAUGGAUAGGAAUAAUCACUGUCAUGAAAAUGGCCAUACUGCCCAAAGUAAUUUAUAGAUUCAAUGAUAUCCCCAUCAA
rnacentral:lncRNA from 1 species